rnacentral:rRNA from 1 species
CCUACGGGUGGCUGCAGUGGGGAAUAUUGCACAAUGGGGGAAACCCUGAUGCAGCGACGCCGCGUGAGUGAAGAAGUAUCUCGGUAUGUAAAGCUCUAUCAGCAGGGAAGAAAAUGACGGUACCUGACUAAGAAGCCACGGCUAACUACGUGCCAGCAGCCGCGGUAAUACGUAGGGGGCAAGCGUUAUCCGGAUUUACUUGGUGUAAAGGGAGCGUCGACGGUGCGGUAAGUCCUGGGUGAAAGCCCAUGGCUAAACAAUGGUACUGCUCUGGAAACUGUGGAGCUUGAGUGCGGGAGGGGCAGGCGGAAUUCCUGGUGUAGCGGUGAAAUGCGUAGAUAUUAGGAAGAACACCGGCUGCGAAGGCGGCCUGCUAGACCGUCACUGACGUUGAGGCUCGAAAGCGUGGGGAGCAAACAGGAUUAGAUACCCUAGUAGUC